AGAGCCAAUCUGAAAAUUCAGAGAACACAGGGAGGAGACCAAGGAGAAAUCCAGAGUGAAAUGAAAUAACGGUUUGGGGAGCAGAUGGUGCAAUAUCUCAUUCUUAAAAGAUUUGCUGCCCAUGGUAAUGGAGACAAAUACCUGCAGAAAAACAUAAUCAAAACUCAAAGGAAAUUUGAGCAAGCACUGGAACAUUCACAAAGGCAGACAGCAGACAUGCUCAUCAAAAGCAUUUUUGCUGCAUAUUGGGUUAUCAGGAUGGACAUGCAUGGACUAAUCAAUGUGCUUCAAUGAGAGCUGUAGAAAAAUGGAAUGAGCAACAAUGGAGUCAUCAUAUAGCCAGCAUCAUAUAGAAGAAUGACAAAGAGAGAAAAAAUAAAACUUUCUGGGAAAGAAGGAAUAAGAAGGUGGAUUGGCAGAAAGAUCAAUGUGGUUUUCCCUAGAGCUUCCUGGGCAGAGCACAGAAAAGGCUGGUUGCCUAUGGAGAGCUACACAUUGAAGAGUUUCUUAAUCAGCCCACAGUUCACUUGAUUCCCAGACACAGACAACAUGAGUUU
rnacentral:lncRNA from 1 species